UGGGGAAUAUUGGACAAUGGGCGCAAGCCUGAUCCAGCCAUGCCGCGUGAGUGAUGAAGGCCUUAGGGUUGUAAAGCUCUUUCACCGGAGAAGAUAAUGACGGUAUCCGGAGAAGAAGCCCCGGCUAACUUCGUGCCAGCAGCCGCGGUAAUACGAAGGGGGCUAGCGUUGUUCGGAAUUACUGGGCGUAAAGCGCACGUAGGCGGACAUUUAAGUCAGGGGUGAAAUCCCGGAGCUCAACUCCGGAACUGCCUUUGAUACUGGGUGUCUUGAGUAUGGAAGAGGUGAGUGGAAUUCCGAGUGUAGAGGUGAAAUUCGUAGAUAUUCGGAGGAACACCAGUGGCGAAGGCGGCUCACUGGUCCAUUACUGACGCUGAGGUGCGAAAGCGUGGGGAGCAAACAGGAUUAGAUACCCCCGUAGUCC
rnacentral:rRNA from 1 species